UACGUAGGGGGCAAGCGUUGUCCGGAUUUAUUGGGCGUAAAGAGCUCGUAGGCGGUUCGGUAAGUCGGGUGUGAAACCUCCAGGCUCAACCUGGAGAGGCCACCUGAUACUGCUGUGACUCGAGUCCGGUAGGGGAGCGUGGAAUUCCUGGUGUAGCGGUGAAAUGCGCAGAUAUCAGGAGGAACACCAGCGGCGAAGGCGGCGCUCUGGGCCGGAACUGACGCUGAGGAGCGAAAGCGUGGGUAGCAAACAGG
rnacentral:rRNA from 1 species